rnacentral:rRNA from 1 species
CAACUUUUGGCAACGGAUCUCUUGGUUCUCCCAUCGAUGAAGAUCGCAGCGAAUUGCGAUAAGUAAUGUGAAUUGCAGAAGUGAAUCAUCGAAUCUUUGAACGCACCUUGCGCUCCCGGCAGAUCUAAUCUGGGGAGCAUGCCUGUUUGAGGGCCGCG